UGUGCACCAGUGGGGUCCCUCGGCCUGGCCUGUGCCCUUUCGCAAUCUGGGACCCCUCGGGGGAUGUCGGAGAGCCGGUUUCGGUUUGAUUCCGCAGGCCAGGCCGAGGGACCCCACUGGUGCACA
rnacentral:pre_miRNA from 1 species